UAUAAUAGCCGCAUUUUGUGCUAAGGUAGCAUAAUCACUUGUCUUUUAAUUGAGGACUAGAACAAAAGAUUUAACAUUUUAAUUUAUUUUACUUUUUUAAAAAAUUCAAAUUUUACUAAAAGUAAAAAUACUUUUAUUAAAUAGAAAGACGAUAAGACCCUAUUGAACUUAACUUUAGUUAAACUGGGGAAGUUAUUUAAUUAUUAUUUUAUAUAUUAAUAUACAUUUAAUUAUCCAAUAAAAUUGAAUAAUUCAGUUACCAUAGGGAUAACAGCAUAAUUUUAUUAAUAAGCACUCAUUUAUAAUAAAGAUUGUGACCUCGAUGUUGAAUUAAUAACCUAAUUAGGGCAAGACUUAAAUAAAGGAAGUCUGUUCGACUUUUAAAAAAUUACGUGAUCUGAGUUCAA
rnacentral:rRNA from 1 species